rfam:Desulfococcus multivorans DSM 2059 ctg14, whole genome shotgun sequence.
UGAGGGAUCGUCUAGUGGCAGGACGACGGGUUCUGGCCCCGUUAACCUAGGUUCGAAUCCUAGUCCCUCAG